CCCAGUAAACGGCGGCCGUAACUAUAACGGUCCUAAGGUAGCGAAAUUCCUUGUCGGGUAAGUUCCGACCUGCACGAAUGGCGUAACGACAGCGGCGCUGUCUCCACCCGAGACUCAGUGAAAUUGAAAUCGCUGUGAAGAUGCAGCGUUCCCGCGGCAAGACGGAAAGACCCCGUGAACCUUUACUAUAGCUUUACAUUGAACGUUGAGUUCGUCUGUGUAGGAUAGGUGGGAGGCUUUGAAGCGCAGGCGCUAGCUUGCGUGGAGCCAUCCUUGAAAUACCACCCUGAUGUGCUUGACGUUCUAACCUGGGCCCGUUAUCCGGGCCGGGGACCAUGUAUGGUGGGUAGUUUGACUGGGGCGGUCUCCUCCCAAAGAGUAACGGAGGAGCACGAAGGUACGCUCAGCGCGGUCGGACAUCGCGCACUGUGUGCAAAGGCAUAAGCGUGCUUGACUGCGAGAUCGACGGAUCAAGCAGGUACGAAAGUAGGUCUUAGUGAUCCGGUGGUUCUGUAUGGAAGGGCCAUCGCUCAACGGAUAAAAGGUACUCCGGGGAUAACAGGCUGAUACCGCCCAAGAGUUCAUAUCGACGGCGGUGUUUGGCACCUCGAUGUCGGCUCAUCACAUCCUGGGGCUGUAGUCGGUCCCAAGGGUAUGGCUGUUCGCCAUUUAAAGUGGUACGCGAGCUGGGUUCAGAACGUCGUGAGACAGUUCGGUCCCUAUCUGUCGUGGGCGUUGGAGAUUUGAGAGGGGCUGCUCCUAGUACGAGAGGACCGGAGUGGACGAACCUCUGGUGUUCCGGUUGUCCUGCCAAGGGCAUUGCCGGGUAGCUAUGUUCGGAAGCGAUAACUGCUGAAAGCAUCUAAGCGGGAAGCGCGCCUCAAGAUGAGAUCUCCCGGGAGCUUGACUCCCCUAAAGGAACGAUCAAGACCAGGUCGUUGAUAGGUCGGGUGUGUAAGCGCAGCAAUGCGUUGAGCUAACCGAUACUAAUGAUCCGUGCGGCUUGACCAU
rnacentral:rRNA from 1 species